ensembl:lncRNA
CUUAAUUCCCAAAUAUUCAGGAAUUAAUAAUGAACAGAGAAUUCCUGACAGAUCCAAAACAGCACACAGGAAGCCUCCUGUUAAAUGCUUCCUGACAGGUGAUUGGAUGAGACGUGGGCACCUGAGCUCCAGACAGCCAAUCCAUAGGCUGACCUGCCCACCUCAGUGUGGUCCAGAUUGAGGAUGGGAGCCAGCUAAUCAAGGUGGAAGCUGAGGUUCCCAUGGAAGGCUCUUUGUGACGAUGUGAUGAACCAUCCCUCCCAUGCUCCUUAGUGAUAUCACAUCACUGCUUUUCUCAUCAAGAAGUGAUGUCCUCUCUCCUCUCCUGGAAUCCCAGCUUGGAGACGUGCCCUGUUAGGCCAGUGGGCCAUUCGCAAAUGUGAUGCAAGCAGAGGCUUGAAACCCUCCUUUGUGUGAGGUUUGCCCUCUCUCUGUUGUGGUUGGAGUGGAAACGAGGAUGUGAGCGAGCCUGAGCUCAUCUCCUGAAGAGCCCACAUGGAAAACCGAAGCAUCCCAGCCUGAAGAUUGACAACUGCUAGUUGCGUGUGUGAAGACCUCUGAGCCUAUCCAGCCCGAAUCAGACCACCAGAUGACUGCAGCUGUGUGAGAGACCCCAGGCAAUACCACCGGCAGGGUUCCCAAUGAACCCAGCCACAUUGUUGACCAGCAAAAUCAUGAGCCAGGAAAAUGGAAUGCAGAGCUGGGGCCAGCACGGGUGGAUAGUGUUCUCUGGAGCAGGGCUCCUCAAAGUGUGGGCCACAGACUGGCUGCUUGAUACAGUCCAUGACAAGGAACAGCCCUCCGGCUCCUACACCAGGAACAAAGGAGGUGGGAGAUUAGUGUGGGGGAGAGCAGAGGAAGCAGCCUGCGCAUGUCCAGAGGGGAACGAGAUCAGCUCCACUGGACUCUUGAGAGUCCCUUGGACUGCAAGGAGAUGCAACCAAUCCAUUCUGAAGGAGAUCAGCCCUGGGAUUUCUUUGGAAGGAAUGAUGCUGAAGCUGAAACUCCAGUACUUUGGCCACCUCAUGAGAAGAGUUGACUCAUUGGAAAAGACUCUGAUGCUGGGAGGGAUUGGAGGCAAGAGGAGAAGGGGACGACAGAGGAUGAGAUGGCUGGAUGGCAUCGCCGACUCGAUGGACGUGAGUUUGAGUCAACUCCAGGAGUUGGUGAUGGACAGGGAGGCCUGGUGUGCUGCGAUUCAUGGGGUUGGAAAGAGUCGGACACGACUGAGCGACUGAACUGAACUGAACUGAACUGAAUGCCUAAUGAUGCUGGGCAUCUUUUCAUGUAUUCAUCGUCUACUUGCAUAUCUUCUCUGAAGAAAUAUCUGUUUUGAUCCUUUGCCCAUUUUUAUGUUGGGCUUUUUAUCUUUUUAUUAUUGAAUUGCAAGAGUUCUUUAUGUAUUCUGGAUACAAGCCCUUUGUCAGAGAUAUGCUUUCUGCAUAUUUUAUCUUAUUCUGUGGGUAGUCUUUUCAUUUUCUCAGUGGUAUCAUUUGCAGCACAGUUAAAAAU